rnacentral:rRNA from 1 species
UACGAAGGGGGCUAGCGUUGUUCGGAAUUACUGGGCGUAAAGCGCGCGCAGGCGGUCUUCCAAGUCAGUGGUGAAAGCCCGGAGCUCAACUCCGGAACUGCCAUUGAAACUGUUAGACUUGAGGAUGAGAGAGGUGAGUGGAAUUCCCAGUGUAGAGGUGAAAUUCGUAGAUAUUGGGAAGAACACCAGUGGCGAAGGCGGCUCACUGGACCGGUAUUGACGCUGAGGUGCGAAAGCGUGGGGAGCAAACAGG